UUUCUGUUCAUUUUUCAAAUCCCUAAUCCCCCUUCCUAGUCGCCGAUUCAUCUCCACCAGAUGGUGCUCUUCGAGUCUGGAGGAAUUUCAACCCUGAAAUCUUUCCUCAGCUUAGAUUUCAACGAAGAAAGGAGAAGAAAUCCAUGGCCUGUUUGCACGGUAAGGUUUUUCUUUACCUUCUUUUUUUUUUUAAAUCAAAAAUAGAUCCAACCAUGAAUCAUUCAAGAAAAUAAAUCGAAUAAAGAAAACAACUAAAAAAAACUUAAAUCGGAGAUCACCUCUAAAUCUUGAUUGAUUUCUCUCUAUUUGAUUGGUAUGCGUAUAGUGUGCGUAAAAAAUACAGAGUACAAGUGAUGGCCUUUUAUAGCCUAAAUUUACAGAGUAAAGAACAAAAAGUAAAAUAUUUUCCUACUGUCAUUUUGCACAUUCUACUCUUUUGUAUUCUUUUGUAGAAA
rnacentral:lncRNA from 1 species